GAGUUCGAUCCUGGCUCAGGACGAACGCUGGCGGCGUGCUUAACACAUGCAAGUCGAGGGGUCCCCGCAAGGGGGCACCGGCGAACGGGUGCGUAACACGUGAGCGACCUGCCUUUCUGCGGGGGAUAGCCGGCCCAACGGCCGGGUAAUACCGCAUAUCCCAUUUCCCGGGCAUACGGGGAUUGGAAAACCUUCGGGGCGGAGAGAGGGGCUCGCGGCCUAUCAGCUAGUUGGCGGGGUAACGGCCCACCAAGGCGACGACGGGUAGCUGGUCUGAGAGGAUGGCCAGCCACAUUGGGACUGAGAGACGGCCCAGACUCCUACGGGAGGCAGCAGUGGGGAAUCUUGCGCAAUGGCCGAAAGGCUGACGCAGCGACGCCGCGUGCGGGAUGAAGGCCUUCGGGUCGUAAACCGCUGUUGCCCGGGACGAACAACUGGUUUCGACCAGUCUGACGGUACCGGGUGAGGAAGCACCGGCUAACUCCGUGCCAGCAGCCGCGGUAAUACGGAGGGUGCGAGCGUUGUCCGGAAUCACUGGGCGUAAAGGGCGCGUAGGCGGCCGGGUAAGCGUGCGGUGAAAGCUUGGGGCUCAACCCCGAGUCUGCCGUGCGAACUGUCCGGCUCGAGCACUGUAGAGGCAAGCGGAAUUCCGGGUGUAGCGGUGGGAAUGCGUAGAGAUCCGGAAGAACACCGGUGGCGAAGGCGGCCUGCUGGGCAGUGGCUGACGCUGAGGCGCGACAGCGUGGGGAGCAAACAGGAUUAGAUACCCUGGUAGUCCACGCCGUAAACGAUGGGUACUAGGUGCUUGGGGGAGCGACCCCCCGGGUGCCGGCGCUAACGCAUUAAGUACCCCGCCUGGGGAGUACGGCCGCAAGGCUGAAACUCAAAGGAAUUGACGGGGGCCCGCACAAGCGGUGGAGCAUGUGGUUUAAUUCGACGCAACGCGAAGAACCUUACCUGGGCUUGACAUGCACGGGAAACCCGGUGGAAACACCGGGCCCUCUUCGGAGUCCGUGCACAGGUGCUGCAUGGCUGUCGUCAGCUCGUGUCGUGAGAUGUAGGGAUAAGUCCCGCAACGAGCGCAACCC
rnacentral:rRNA from 1 species